GUCAUGCUUUGAAUUAUGGGAGCUCUCAGUUCAUGCAAAUGCCAUUACAUUGUACAGAAAAAAGGAUGGCACAGAGGCAGAAUCAAAUGAAGACUAUAGGAUGUUAUUCAGAUUAUCACAGGAGGGAGGCAUCACCUAUACAAAUUUAAUCCAGCAAGUCUCUGUCUCACCUAAUGCAAUUCUUCCUAGUGCUGAGGUGGCAGGUGGUCUUCCUCUGCUCCAAAACACUUAUGGCAGUUUCAUGCAGCUAUUGCAAGCUCCUAUUGAAUCAGAGAGUGCUCUAUAUUUGACAUCCAAUAGAUUUGAGUAUGACAACACCUUUUGGGGUUUUGAUCCUCACAAUGGUUAUCAACAAAAUGACCUGCAAAAUGCACAAACAGACACCUCUCAGAUGUGCAACUCUUUGCCACAAAGUGUAGCUGUACAUCCUCCUAUGGCAUCACUGGACAUGCUAUAUGAUGAAAUGCAUAAAUCAAGCGCUGAUGUUGAUAAUCAAGCUGAGAUGUGCAGGCCAACAGUACAAUUGAAAGCAUCAUCUGUAGAAUUACAUUUCAGCAAGAUAGAACAAGAUAAAAGUGCAGAAAAUCCAGAUCAAAAUUUUAGUGAGGAAGAUAUAAACAUAUUUCUGGAGAAUGAAAGUGUAGCAGUUGUUCAGAGAGGUGGUCAGGAUGCUAAAAGUGCACAUGUGCCGUCAAUCAACAAAGUUUUUGCUGAUGAAAAUGAAGCUUUUGACUUCUACAAUGGUUAUGCUUAUAUGGUUGGUUUCUCUACAUGCAAAGCUAGCAAUUACCAUAGCAGAAAAACCGAUGUUGUGACAAGGCACACGUUCAAAUGCAACAGUGAUCCAAAGGAGAAGGACCUGCCUGAGUUUGAUGAAGUUGAGAAUUGUUUGCAAACAAACACAACAAAUCCAUUGGUAAAAAAGAGAAAACAGAAUAAAGUGGUUUACACAAAUUGCAAAGCUAAGAUGAGCACAAUCAUCCACUAUCUCCACCAGAAGAAAGAAAUUCCUAAGGUCCCACAAACAUAUGACAGACCAGGAGAAACUUUUGAUAAGAACUCUAAACAAAAUCAAUGUGCCCACAAGGAUGAUUAUCUUAUGUGGGUCACUAGAAAGAGAUGGGCACCAGUUUACUUCAAAAGCAAUUGGUGCCCUUUGAUUCAGACAACAGCAAGGAGUGAGGGGACAAAUUCAAGGUACAAAGCUGACAUUUGUUCAUCUCAUAGUGUUUCUGCAUUCCUAGCACAGUAUGAAAGGAUUGCAGAAACAAUUUAUGAGUGCUUCAAAGAACAGGAAUCGCUGACUAGGAAUACUGUUCUAGAUACUUGGUCAGAAUAUCAAUUUGAGAAGCAAGCUGCAAAAUUUGACAAGAUUGAAGAUGGGUUGAAGGCAAUGAGUGAUACGGCUCCUAACGAGGCUACUGUUCAUGUUCAGGAUGCGGCGGCGACAACUUGUGGUGUAGCUUCUGUUGGUGCUCAAACUGGUAUAUUGAUGGGUCCUAGUGGUGUUGGUAUUGAUGCUGAGAGCACAAACUGA
rnacentral:lncRNA from 1 species